GGAUUGUGGCUUAAUGGUAGAGUGCUUGCCUAGCACAUGUGAGGCACUGGGUUCUAUUCUCAGCACCA
rnacentral:tRNA from 1 species